AUACGGAGGGGGCUAGCGUUGUUCGGAAUCACUGGGCGUAAAGCGCGCGCAGGCGGCUAUUUAAGUUGGAUGUGAAAGCCUACGGCUCAACCGUAGAACUGCAUCCAAAACUAUUUAGCUAGAGUGUGGGAGAGGAAGAUGGAAUUAGUUGUGUAGGGGUAAAAUCCGUAGAGAUAACUAGGAAUACCAAAAGCGAAGGCAAUCUUCUGGAACACUACUGACGCUGAGGCGCGAAAGCGUGGGGAGCAAACAGGAUUAGAAACCCUAGUAGUCC
rnacentral:rRNA from 1 species